CUGUAAGCCUGUGAAGGUGUGCUGUGAGGCAUGCUGGAGGUAUCAGAAGUGCGAAUGCUGACAUAAGUAACGAUAAAGCGGGUGAAAAGCCCGCUCGCCGGAAGACCAAGGGUUCCUGUCCAACGUUAAUCGGGGCAGGGUGAGUCGACCCCUAAGGCGAGGCCGAAAGGCGUAGUCGAUGGGAAACAGGUUAAUAUUCCUGUACUUGGUGUUACUGCGAAGGGGGGACGGAGAAGGCUAUGUUGGCCGGGCGACGGUUGUCCCGGUUUAAGCGUGUAGGCUGGUUUUCCAGGCAAAUCCGGAAAAUCAAGGCUGAGGCGUGAUGACGAGGCACUACGGUGCUGAAGCAACAAAUGCCCUGCUUCCAGGAAAAGCCUCUAAGCAUCAGGUAACAUCAAAUCGUACCCCAAAC
rnacentral:rRNA from 1 species